rnacentral:rRNA from 1 species
AGAGUUUGAUCAUGGCUCAGGAUGAACGCUAGCGGCAGGCCUAACACAUGCAAGUUGAGGGGCAGCAUGAAUAAUAGCAAUAUUAUUUGAUGGCGACCAGCGCACGGGUGCGUAACACGUAUGCAAUCUACCUCGUACUUGGGCAUAACUCCGAGAAAUCGGUGCUAAUUCCCAAUGACACUAUGAAGUGGCAUCACUUUAUAGUUAAAGUUCCGGCGGUACGAGAUGAGCAUGCGCCCAAUUAGCUAGUUGGUGAGGUAAUGGCUCACCAAGGCUACGAUUGGUAGGGGUUCUGAGAGGAUGAUCCCCCACACUGGUACUGAGACACGGACCAGACUCCUACGGGAGGCAGCAGUGAGGAAUAUUGCGCAAUGGACGAAAGUCUGACGCAGCCAUGCCGCGUGAAGGAUGAAGGCCCUAUGGGUUGUAAACUUCUUUUGUACGGGAAAAAACGCUCCUACGUGUAGGAGCCUGAUGGUACCGUAAGAAUAAGCACCGGCUAACUCCGUGCCAGCAGCCGCGGUAAUACGGAGGGUGCAAGCGUUAUCCGGAUUUAUUGGGUUUAAAGGGUCCGUAGGCGGGCCGAUAAGUCAGUGGUGAAAGCCCAUAGCUCAACUAUGGAACUGCCAUUGAUACUGUCGGUCUUGAGUACAAGUGAGGUUGGCGGAAUGUGUGGUGUAGCGGUGAAAUGCUUAGAUAUCACACAGAACACCGAUUGCGAAGGCAGCUGGCCAACUUGUAACUGACGCUGAGGGACGAAAGUGUGGGGAUCAAACAGGAUUAGAUACCCUGGUAGUCCACACCGUAAACGAUGAUUACUAGAUUUUGGCCUUAUGGUCAGAGUCCAAGCGAAAGUGUUUAGUAAUCCACCUGGGGAGUACGUCCGCAAGGAUGAAACUCAAAGGAAUUGACGGGGGCCCGCACAAGCGGUGGAGCAUGUGGUUUAAUUCGAUGAUACGCGAGGAACCUUACCUGGGCUUGAAAGUUAGUGACCGUUCCUGAAAGGGGACUUUCCGCAAGGACACGAAACUAGGUGCUGCAUGGCUGUCGUCAGCUCGUGCCGUGAGGUGUCGGAUUAAGUUCCAUAACGAGCGCAACCCCUAUCUUUAGUUGCCAGCGAGUAAUGUCGGGGACUCUAAAGAAACUGCCCGUGUAAGCGGUGAGGAAGGUGGGGAUGACGUCAAGUCAUCACGGCCCUUACGUCCAGGGCGACACACGUGCUACAAUGGUAGGGACAGUGAGUUGCAAGCCAGCAAUGGUGAGCUAAUCUAUAAACCCUAUCUCAGUUCGGAUCGAGGUCUGCAACCCGACCUCGUGAAGCUGGAAUCGCUAGUAAUCGGAUAUCAGCCAUGAUCCGGUGAAUACGUUCCCGGGCCUUGUACACACCGCCCGUCAAGCCAUGGAAAUUGGGAGUGCCUAAAGUCGGCCACCGUAAGGAGCUGCCUAAGGCAAAACCAGUAACUGGGGCUAAGUCGUAACAAGGUAGCCGUACCGGAAGGUGCGGCUGGAAUACCUCCUUU